CCGUACUGCAACACCAAUGGUUUCCGAACAACUUCUACACUCUUCUACUAAAAAAAAAUUCUGAAGUCCAUAUUUUUCUUAAGAAAUGUCAGUUUUCGAAAACCUUGCUAUUUUCAAUGGAAUAACGCCGUCGCUACUCUCCGUGGUGUCAAGCAUCGCCAGCAUCCACAAUUCUUCGUUUUACUCCAGUACCAAGACUUCGAUUCACAGAUUAUGCAGAACACUGAAUUUUCAACAUGAUGCGAUGUGGAGCAGAUAGGGAGAGUCAUUUCCAAAUGACGAUGCUGUCAGAGCUGCUGAGAUAGGGAAGAAACAAAAGGAAGAUUUGUGUUCAGGGAGAGGGCACAGAGAGAAGGUGAAUGGAGACAUGAUCUAGUGGCAAAAUUGAUAAGAGUGAAACACAAGAGACUGCUAAAUGGAUGGAUUUGUAACACCCCCUACUAAUUAUUUAGCCACAGUUAUCAUCCAGCCCUAUAACAAAAAAUCUCCAGUUA